rnacentral:rRNA from 1 species
GACGAACGCUGGCGGCGUGCCUAAUACAUGCAAGUCGAGCGGACUUUCAAGAAGCUUGCUUUUUGAAAGUUAGCGGCGGACGGGUGAGUAACACGUGGGCAACCUGCCUGCAAGACGGGGAUAACUCCGGGAAACCGGGGCUAAUACCGGAUAAUAUCUUCCUCCGCAUGAAGGAAGGUUGAAAGGCGGCGCAAGCUGCCGCUUGCAGAUGGGCCCGCGGCGCAUUAGCUAGUUGGUGAGGUAACGGCUCACCAAGGCGACGAUGCGUAGCCGACCUGAGAGGGUGAUCGGCCACACUGGGACUGAGACACGGCCCAGACUCCUACGGGAGGCAGCAGUAGGGAAGCUUCCGCAAUGGACGAAAGUCUGACGGAGCAACGCCGCGUGAGCGAAGAAGGUCUUCGGAUCGUAAAGCUCUGUUGUCAGGGAAGAACAAGUACCGUUCGAACAGGGCGGUACCUUGACGGUACCUGACCAGAAAGCCACGGCUAACUACGUG